GCCCCAGACUCCUACGGGAGGCAGCAGUGAGGAAUAUUGGUCAAUGGCCGUAAGGCUGAACCAGCCAAGUAGCGUGAGGGAAGACUGCCCUAUGGGUUGUAAACCUCUUUUGUCAGGGAGCAAAGGGCGCCACGUGUGGCGCUUUGCGAGUACCUGAAGAAAAAGCAUCGGCUAACUCCGUGCCAGCAGCCGCGGUAAUACGGAGGAUGCGAGCGUUAUCCGGAUUUAUUGGGUUUAAAGGGUGCGCAGGCGGAAUGUCAAGUCAGCGGUAAAAUUUCGGGGCUCAACCCCGUCGUGCCGUUGAAACUGGCGUUCUUGAGUGAGCGAGAAGUAUGCGGAAUGCGUGGUGUAGCGGUGAAAUGCAUAGAUAUCACGCAGAACUCCGAUUGCGAAGGCAGCAUACCGGCGCUCAACUGACGCUCAUGCACGAAAGCGUGGGUAUCGAACAGGAUUAGAUACCCCCGUAC
rnacentral:rRNA from 1 species